UAUGGUCUUGUUCAAGGGCAGAUUCUGAUCCAGUAAGCCCGGAAUUCUCCAUUUCUAACAAGCCCCCAGGGGAUGCUGGUGCUGCU
rnacentral:miRNA from 1 species